rnacentral:rRNA from 1 species
GAGUUUGAUCGUGGCUCAGAACGAACGCUGGCGGCAUGCCUAACACAUGCAAGUCGAACGAGAUCUUCGGAUCUAGUGGCGCACGGGUGCGUAACGCGUGGGAAUCUGCCCUUGGGUGCGGAAUAACUUCUCGAAAGGGAUGCUAAUACCGCAUAAUGUCGUAAGACCAAAGAUUUAUCGCCCAAGGAUGAGCCCGCGUAAGAUUAGCUAGUUGGUGGGGUAAAAGCCUACCAAGGCGACGAUCUUUAGCUGGUCUGAGAGGAUGAUCAGCCACACUGGGACUGAGACACGGCCCAGACUCCUACGGGAGGCAGCAGUGGGGAAUAUUGGACAAUGGGCGAAAGCCUGAUCCAGCAAUGCCGCGUGAGUGAUGAAGGCCCUAGGGUUGUAAAGCUCUUUUACCCGGGAUGAUAAUGACAGUACCGGGAGAAUAAGCUCCGGCUAACUCCGUGCCAGCCGCCGCCGUAAG